GAUUUAUAAAGAUGGGCGGAGAGAAUAGGCUCUAUGAAACCCGGGCAACCAAACGAGCUCUCGUAAAGGUGCCAAUACCUACCUGCCAGUGUGCAGGAAUGAUAAACC
rnacentral:ncRNA from 2 species